rnacentral:rRNA from 1 species
AGCAGCCGCGGUAAUACGUAGGAUGCAAGCGUUGUCCGGAUUUAUUGGGCGUAAAGCGAACGUAGGCGGUUUCUUAAGUCUGAUGUGAAAGCCCUCGGCUUAACCGAGGAGGGUCAUUGGAAACUGGGAGACUUGAGUGCAGAAGAGGAAAGUGGAAUUCCAAGUGUAGCGGUGAAAUGCGUAGAGAUUUGGAGGAACACCAGUGGCGAAGGCGACUUUCUGGUCUGUAACUGACGCUGAGGCGCGAAAGCGUGGGGAGCAA